UAUGUGAUCGUCUCUCGCAUAUCAAUAAGCGGAGGAAAAGAAACUAACAAGGAUUCCCCUAGUAACGGCGAGUGAAGCGGGAAGAGCUCAAAUUUGAAAUCUUAAAGGGUUUCCCUUUACGAAUUGUAGUUUAAAGAAGUGUUUUCUGUUGAGGUUUUGGUAAAAGUUCUUUGGAAUAGGACAUCAUAGAGGGUGAGAAUCCCGUAUUUGACCUUUACUUUCAACUUUGUGAUACACUUUCAAAGAGUCGGAUUGUUUGGGAAUGCAGUCCAAAAUGGGUGGUAAAUUUCAUCUAAAGCUAAAUAUUGGCGAGAGACCGAUAGCGAACAAGUACCGUGAGGGAAAGAUGAAAAGAACUUUGAAAAGAGAGUUAAACAGUACGUGAAAUUGUCAAAAGGGAAGCGUUUGACACCAGUGUUGUUUUUCUGAAAAUCAAUUAAAGAACUGUUUAUGCUAAGUUGUUUAGACUGUAUCAGCUAACUGUUUAGUUUUGAGCUUUUCUUUAAUGCACUUUUCAGUUAACAAGUCAACAUCAAUUUCUUUUGCUGUAAAAAAGCUUGAGGAAGGUGGCUUGAGAUUCGUCUUAAGUGUUUAUAGCCUCUUGCCUAUGCAGUCGGAGAGAUUGAGGUCUGCAGCGUAGAUCCUUCGGGGCUAAAUGCAUUUGUGCUAAGUUAUAGCAUUUUAUAGACAACUUGUUGACUAUGAUUUGUCUUGUAGCUUACUCGCUUAUGUUAUUUUACCUACGCUUAGGAUGUUGACACACGCGCGUGCUCGAUCUAUACAUGGCUCUGUGCAUAUCAAUAAGCGGAGGAAAAGAGGGCUAUUACCUACGCUUAGGAUGUUGACACACGCGCGUGCUCG
rnacentral:rRNA from 1 species